rnacentral:rRNA from 1 species
AGCGGCGGUAAUACGUAGGCAGCGAGCGUUGGUCGGAGUUACUGGGCGUAAAGCGUGCGUAGGCGGUUUUGUAAGUUUGGUGUGAAAUCUCCCGGCUCAACUGGGAGGGUGCGCCGAAAACUGCAAGGCUGGAGUGUGGGAGAGGUAGGCGGAAUUCCUGGUGUAGCGGUGAAAUGCGUAGAUAUCAGGAGGAACACCUGUGGUGUAGACGGCUUACUGGACCAUAACUGACGCUGAGGCACGAAAGCGUGGGGAGCAAAC